AGUAGGAUUGCUGGGUUAUAUUGUAAGCAUAUUUUUAACUUUAUAAGAAACUGCCGGACUGUUUUCCAAAGUAACUGUACUAUUUUGCAUUCCCACCAGCAAC
rnacentral:pre_miRNA from 1 species